rnacentral:rRNA from 1 species
GGACAACCUACCCUUGGGUCUGGCAUAAUCCUGGGAAACUGGGGAUAAUACCGGAUGGGCCACAUAUGCUGGAAUGCUCUGUGGCCGAAAGCUUUUGCGCCGAAGGAUGGGUCUGCGGCCUAUCAGGGUAGCAGUGGGUGUAACGUACCUACUAGCCUACGACGGGUACGGGUUGUGAGAGCAAGAGCCCGGAGAUGGAUUCUGAGACACGAAUCCAGGCCCUACGGGGUGCAGCAGGCGCGAAAACUUUACAAUGCGGGAAACCGUGAUAAGGGGAUCUCGAGUGCCAGCAUAUAAUGUUGGCUGUCCAGAUGCCUAAAAAGCAUCUGUUAGCAAGGGCCGGGCAAGACCGGUGCCAGCCGCCGCGGUAACACCGGCGGCCCGAGUGGUAACCGCUUUUAUUGGGUCUAAAGGGUCUGUAGCCGGCCAAGUAAGUCCCUUGGGAAAUCUGGCAGCUUAACUGUCAGGCUGCUAGGGGAUACUGCUGGGCUUGGGACCGGGAGAGGUGAGAGGUACCUUGGGGGUAGGGGUGAAAUCUUGUGAUCCUCGGGGGACCACCAGUGGCGAAGGCGUCUCACCAGAACGGGUCCGACGGUAAGGGACGAAAGCUAGGGGCACGAACCGGAUUAGAUACCCGGGUAGUCCUAGCCGUAAACGAUGCUCGCUAGGUGUCAGGCAUGGCGCGACCGUGUCUGGUGCCGCAGGGAAGCCGUGAAGCGAGCCACCUGGGAAGUACGGCCGCAAGGCUGAAACUUAA